UCGUAGCUCAGUUGGAUAGAGCGACAGCCUCCUAAGCUGUAGGCCGCAGGUUCGAUUCCUGCCGGGC
rnacentral:tRNA from 2 species